ACAAAUAGCCCUGGGCUCCCCAGGCUGCUGAGUCCAGCUGCUAACUGCUCAUUGUUUGCUAAAGCUGAACUCAAGGCAACAUCAACCAUGAGACUGUCCCUGUGUGUCCUGCUGAUCACUCUGGCCCUUUGCUGCUAUGAGGCAAAUGCAACAGCUUGUCCAACUUUUAUGAAUCAACUAAAAAGCUUCUUUUUUGAUCACCCAAGUCUCUACAACAUCAAGCUUCUGACAUUUUUUCCAUCUAGAGAGGCUGCUGAGGCCAAGAUGAAUAUGAAGAAUUGUGUGAAUCUUAUCCCCGGAGAGGGCAGAGGGAAAAUUUACAGUGUUCUGAAAUAUAUAGAAUCUAAAUGUAACAACUAGACUUGAAAUAUCUUACACAUGACAGCCUCUGUCAUUCAAGGGUGGACUGAUCACCCCCAGAUGUGAAGAUUUCAACGUCUUGCUCCAAUAAAGUACUUUCCCUGCA